GAAAAGAACCCCGGCGAGGGGAGUGAAAAAGAACCUGAAACCGUGUACGUACAAGCAGUGGGAGCACCCUUCGGGGUGUGACUGCGUACCUUUUGUAUAAUGGGUCAGCGACUUAUAUUCUGUAGCACGGUUAACCGUAUAGGGGAGCCGUAGGGAAACCGAGUCUUAACCGGGCGUUAAGUUGCAGGGUAUAGACCCGAAA
rnacentral:rRNA from 1 species